rnacentral:rRNA from 1 species
UUUCCGUAGGGGUGACCUGCGGAAGGAUCAUUAUCGAAAUUUGACGAGGGAGAAAAGGAAGAUGGAAAAGUUGUAGUACUGUCGCUGGCUAGCUUUCUUUUGCUUGCAUGUGCACGUACCCUUGGCUGCAUCCGUCGACCUUUUUUUUUCAAUACACCCCUGUGCACCUAGCGUAGGUUUUCGCAAGAGAGUCUAUGUUUUUUCACUACCGCAUGUCUACAGAAUGUCAUUCACUCAUCAAAGGCUAUCUCGAUCAGGCUUCAUUGUCUUGGUUGGGCCGGCCAAUGAGAAAAUCAUAUACAACUUUCAGCAACGGAUCUCUUGGCUCUCGCAUCGAUGAAGAACGCAGCGAAUUGCGAUAAGUAAUGUGAAUUGCAGAUUUCCAGUGAAUCAUCGGAUCUUUGAACGCACCUUGCGCUCCUUGGUAUUCCGAGGAGCAUGCCUGUUUGAGUGUCAUCGAAUUCUCAACCAUCUCUUGAUUGAUUUCAAGACCGUUGGGUUGGAAUUGGGAGUUGCUGGCAGAUUCUUUUUUUCGUCAGCUCUCCUGAAAUGCAUUAGCGAUGAGUGGCUAGUCUUUUUGCGUGCCCGGCCUUUUGACGUGAUAAUGAUCGUCGUGGCUGGGAGCGUAGACAAAACAACACACCCCCCCCUCUCGCUUAUAACAUUUGAAUGAUUGGUUGUUGGGAUCACUCGUCUUUUCAGGUUAAUCACUACUAACCACACUACUCAACAUCUAUGAGCCAAACUUUUGGUUACUAGUCAGUUCGCAGGACUGGCGAAAAGCAAAGGAGAAGUGAAUGGUGAUGGGGUGGGUGGGGGG